UUUUUAUUUUUUUCAUUAUAGCUGGUUUAUAGUGUUCUGUCAAUUUUCUACUGUACAGUAUGGUGACCCGGUUACACAUACAUGUAUACAUUCUUUUUUCUCACGUUAUCAUGCUCCAUCAUAAGUGACUAGACAAAGUUCCCAGUGCUAUACAGCAGGAUCUCAUUACCUACCCAUUCCAAAGGCAAUAGUCUGCAUCUAUUAACCCCAAGUUCCCAACCCAUCCCACUCCUACACUCUCCCCCUUGGCAACCACAAGUCUAUUCUCCAAGUCCAUGAUUCUAAUAUAUGGCACAAAUGAACCUUGCCCUGAUUGUUUUAAUGUCUCCACUUGUUCCUUCUUCACCCACAGGUAAAGCCAAAGGUUCAGGAGCAAAAAGUCCCAAUCAUUACCCUCAGGGGCCCCAUUGUUCUUGCCCCAGUUUAAAUGCCUUGGCCCUAUUUUACUCUCUAGAGAUUAUCCACUCUUCAGGAGACUGUUGCUGCCUCUUCUGCCUAUUGGGCACUUGAAAGCAGUUCAUUUAAACAUCAAUAACUAGGAGUCUUCAUUGACCUCACCUAGUCUUGACCCCAGAACAAAAUCUUGUGAAAAGUCAAUAAAAGUAGCAAACAAUGUUAUGUUACUCUUGGUGGACUUGGCAAAACAAUGAGAGGGUUUAACAAUAGUUAAUCACGGACUUAGGAGUUGCUAGCAAGUAUUGAGUGUUUACAAAGCAUCAGGCGGUAGGCACACAUGUUCUCUUUGGAUUCACAGAACAACCAGAUGAAGUAGGCACUGUCAUUCCCCCUGUUUUAUGGGGGAGAAACUGGUUUACAAGGGCAGAGUAUUUAACCUGAGGCCGCAAACCAGCAACAGGGCUCUUGUCAGCAACCUGCGGUGUCUUUGUGCUCUCCGUGUAGAAUAUUAGACUGAGAAACUCAGACUCAGUUUCUUAUAGAGGAAACUUGGGAAGUUUUGAACAAACAUUCAGAAAAGUAAUAGGUCUGUAGUUAUUCUACAGCAUUGCUCUCUUAGAAUGGGGUAGAUUUUUGCUUUUCUUUGGUGCCGGUUGGGGGAAGAAUAAACCUUUAGUUUUUCAAAAUGUGCCUACUUUACCAAUGCAAUUAAGUUGCAAACCAAUAACAAGGAGAUAACUUGGAAAGAAAGCAUAGGAGCACUUUCUAAGCAUUUAGGAAAUGAGAAAAAAAAUCAUAAUGGUAUUAGAAUAUGUUUAUAUGGAAUGAUAAUAUCCCUGUCAUGUAUUAAAACAUAAGGGAUAUAAAUAGCAUUUCUUAAGGAGAAGGCAUAUUCUUAAAUACUUACAUUAGAAAAAAUAAAGUCCCAUAAUUUUUUAAAAAGUGAAGUACAGUUGAUUUGCAAUGUUGUGUUCAUUUCAGAUGUUCAUCAAAGUGAUUCAGACCUAUAUCUAUAAACAUCCAUGUAUCUACACAUAGAUGUACUUUUUCAGAUUCUUUCUCUUCUAGAUUAUUACAACAUUUUGAGUAUAGUGCCCUGUAGUAUACAGUAGGUCUUUGUUGGGAGACUGUGCUUUGAAAGCCCAUCCUGAUGAGGACAGAGAUUGAGGACUUAAUGAAAGCAAUUCCCUUAACAAACAUCCAAACCCAUCCAUCAGAAGAGGGGGAGGGAGGGCAAAGGGAGAACAUCUGGUCAGGGAGGAGUUGGUGUCUAAAAUAAUCCAUAAGAGGACGCAUUAGCAAGUCCUGAGAAGCUUCCAAGAGAAGCUAAUAAUGGGCAAAAUGAGAGGUGACAUUCCUGCACAUACAGCUGACCCUUGAACCACACAGGUUGAAUCAGUCCUUAAAUGGGAAUUUUUCAAUCAAGCUUAAGUGGAAAUUGUUUUCAGUAGCAAAUACUACAGUGCUACACAAUGGGUGGUUGGUUGAAUUUGCAGAUGCAGAACCUCAGAUGUGAAGCACUAAGGGUUAGUUAAACACAGAUUCUUGACUCCGUGGAGGCGGGAUCCCCUAACCCUGGCAUUGUUCAAGGAUAAUUGAAUAAAGCUGUGAAAAACUGAACCUUUUGGAUCAACUGGAAUAUGAGUUUCUACAAGCUUUCCAACUAGAAGCAUUUAGUGGGUAACAAGGUUGCAGAAUAUAUCUCAUGACAAAUUCUAACAGCCCAAUCCAAAACUUUCCACAGAAAUCACAGUACUUGAGGAAAUUUUAUAGAGGCAAAAUGAAAUUACAAUAAGAAUAAAACUGCUUAGUAGUCCUGCUGACUUGCCUAUGUAUACAAGGGUUUUUUUUCCCCUGUUGAAUACUUACCCAACCAGAAGCCUGAAGUCUGAAAGGCAAGCACCCCAUCUACCCUAAUAGUUCUGGCUAUCCUGACUUAUCUGAGGAAAGGAACUAAAUCCCCCCUUGACUUAUUAAGACAAUUAAAAUGUAGCUUCACACUAUUCACAACAGCCAAGACAUGGAAACAGCCUAAAUGUCCAUCAACAGAGGAAUGGAUAAAGAAGAUGUGGACAUUUUUGCAGGGGAAUACUACUCAGCCAUUAAAAAGAAAAAAUAAAGGCAUUUGCAGCAACAGGGACCCAACUAGAGAUUCUCAUACUAUAAAGUAAGUCAGAAAAAAAUAAGACAAAUACCAUAUGAUAUCACUUACAUGUGGAAUCUAAAAUAUGGCGUAAAUGAACCUAUCUAUAAAACAGAAACAGACUCACAGACAUAGAGAACAGACUUGUGGCUGCCAAGGAGAAAUGGGGAGAGUGUGGGAUGGAUGGGAAGUUUGGGGUUAAUAGAUGCAAACUAUUUGGAAUGGAUGGGCAAUGAGAUCCUACAGUGCAACACAUAAAACUAUAUCCAAUCUCUUGAGAUAGAACAUGGUAGAAGAUAAUAUGAGAAAGGAAAUAUAUAUAUAUAUAUGAUUGGGUCCCUGCUGUACAGCAGAAAUUGGCACAACAUUAUAAAUCAACUAUAAUUUUUUUAAAUGUAGCUUCAGAAGACUAUCAUGAGAUGGAAGAGUCCUUUACUUUGUCUCAGCCUUUUAACCUACUCCAAUGAGUCUAUGUAUGGAUAGAAAUAGAUUCAGGGGCUGCUACUACCCAGGAGCAGGUGAGAAGGUGAAAUGGUCUACACCACCUGUUCCAGAGAUCAUGGAGAUGAAGGAAGGGUGGUCAUCUAAGGCCACAGCAGCGGCUUCCCAAGUGAAGAAAAAUAAAUGAAGUUCCCAUACCCAUACGGCCAGUCAGCCAUCCUCGGUCAGGCCUAAACCACUAAGUCCUCAAAGAAUGCUGGUUGGGUGAAUACAUUUAUUUAGAAAGAGCCAGAGCUGGUUGAGGCUUGGGGCUAAAUGUUAAAGGAUGGAUUUGGCCAGUGGAAAAAGAGGUUUGUUCCAAUCAGAGAGGAAAGCCAAGGGGUGUGGAUGACUUUGAAGUUCUCACUCAGACAGAGGAUGGGCAGUGCGGCCAAGGUGACAGGUGAAGGAGGAGAUAUCCGUCCCAAGUAAUAACAAAUGUGGUCUCUGGACACCAACCGGGGAAACCUUUCUUCGGAGCCUGGUGGAUCUUGAUGAGUGUUACCGUCUCAAACCACCUUUGUCUGUACCUACACGACUACAAUCUUCUGAUCAUCUAUCUUACUGACACAUUUAUGACUAUUUUAGAACUCGAGUCUUUAUUAUUUAUUUUGUCUUUUUAGGUCCACACCUUCGGCAUAUGGAGGUUCUCAGGUAUGAGUAAUGGAGACUAAGCCUUUUCAGUGAAAAGGAAGCAAAAUGGCUCUUUAAUAAAUUAAAUCAAUUUUCUCAAGUUGUGUAUUUUCUAAACCGAACAUUUCCCAAAAUGUGCUUUUCUCAAUGUGUAUUAGCAAUGAAAGGCUCUGAGAAGACCAGCCAUAAGAGAAAACUAACUUCAUUUAACCCAGAGAUGAUCAAACUCAUUUGACCUGGGAAUGCAUCUUUCAUAGAAGCUCUAUUGCCACCUUCCAGGAAGGUGUGGGAAAUGUUGAAUUAAGAAACCAAUUCAGGGAGUUCCCAUCAUGACUCAGCGGUUAAUGAACCCAACUGGUAUCCAUAAGGAUGCAGGUUCAAUCCCUGGCCUCGCUCAGGGGGUUGAGGAUCCGAUGUUGCCAUGAGCUGUGGGGUAGGUUGCAUAUGCGGCUCGGAUCCCACGUUACUGUGGCUGUGGUGUAGGCUGGCAGCUUCAGCUCCGAUUCUACCACUAGCCUGGGAACCUCCAUAUGCCUCAGGUGUGGCCCUAAGAGGAAAAAAAAAAUUCAUACUUUAAUGUUAUGAUAUCUGGUAUACCUAGGUGAUACAUAUAUACUUAUUUUUUAAUUUUUAGGGUAAUUUUAAGUAACAAAAUCAUUAUUCAUUGUCAAUAGGCUUUUUUCCAAAAAGUGAAUUUUUAAAAGAUAAAGUAGUGAUGACCUUCGGAAUGCAGACAAAACCUCAGAAUUAGGAAGAAUGUGGCUUUAACAUCUACUAAAAAAUAAUUUAAGAAGUAUCUACCAUCUCAUGGCCUGCCCAACCCAAGAAUAAAUUAUUCCCUCUAGUUACACAGCUCAUAGUGCCUCGGAAACUCUUAAUUCUGCUUAGAUGCCUUCUGAGUGUGAGUGAAAUUUAAUUAUCUCAUUUGCUUUAAUAGCAGAGUGUAGAUUAAUGGUGUAAGAGGAAAAGAUGGCUUGUAACAUGAGUGGUAAGGUGCAGAGUCCCUGGCGUGACCAUCACGGCGGAAACUUGAACUCUAGAGCCCAGGAAAGUGUCCGUUUAUAGAAAAGACAGAGCUUUGGCUCCCAUAACAUGCUUUUUCCAUUUAUACUGAAAUUUAUUUGGUUUGGGGGAAUGAGAAUAAAAGUGUUCAUCAGGCAAACUGCUGUUCAAAUUUUGACUUCAUCACUUACAAGCUAUUUAACCACAGGCAAAUCUCUGGCUUCGGUUUCCUCUUCGUAAAAUGGCAUUAAUAGCUGGGAGUACUAGAAGAAAGCUGUCCUCAUUUAUGCUUUUAGAAAUCUUCAGGAUGAUUACUAUUCACCAUCUCGUUACCCUCAAGCAAAGCUUCCCAGCAGACACACCCCUCCAUCCCACUCAAGGCUCUAAAGGAGAGAGAUCCAGUCAGAAAAUAGACCUGCUGACAAUGAACACGUACAUAAACACACUUAAUCUUUCUCUCUGAAAUGGAAAUGCAAAACCAAGGCUCAUCAGGCAUAUGAGGAGAACUGUGGCAUGAAAAAGACCAAAAGAAACAAAAACAGACCCGGGGGGGGGGGGGGAAGACAUUUAGGAAAAAGGAGACAAGACUAAAAAAACUGUCUAAUUACUUUGUCCAGAGAAUUUUGGAGAAAAUAUUAUAUCCUUACAAUCAGAACAAAAUGAUAAGGAAAAGAAAAAAUAGAGAAUAAAAGGCAGGGUUUGCAGAUUAAAAAAAAUAACACCGAUUGAAAAAAAAAUUUAACUAAAGAAGGACUAGAAACUAAACUUGCCAAACUCUCCCUACUCUCUUAGAAUGUAGGGGGGAAAACGACAAAAAAAUUAAAAACUAUGAGAGAAAUCAUCCAGAAGAUUUCACAUAUAGACUUGGAAAUAAAAAAAAUUAUCAAAAAAUAGUUGAAGAGGGAGUUCCCGUCAUGGUGCAGCUGAAAUGAAUUCGGCUAGGAACCAUGAGGUUGCGGGUUUGAUCCCUGGCUUCGCUCAGUGGGUUAAGAAUCCGAUGUUGCCUUGAGCUGUGGUGUAGGUCGAAGAUGCGGCUCGGAUCCCAAGUUGCUGUGGCUCUGGCAUAGACUGGCAGCUGUAGCUCUGAUUAGACCCCUAGCAUGGGAACCUCCAUAUGCCAUAGUUGUGGCUCUAAAAGGACAAAAGACAAAAAAAAAAAGUUGAAGAAAAUUGUCCAAAUUUUAAGGACAAAAUUCUUCAUAAUGAAAAGAGCUUUCUGGAUGCCCAGAACAGUUAAAGAAAGCCAUACCUAGACAUAUUUUUAUCAAGGAUAAAAGGAAAUUUUAUCUAAAGACUUCUAUACCCAGCCAGGUAUCAAUCAAGCACGAAGGCAGAACAAUGGUAUUUUCAGGCAUAAAAACAAAAACAAAAACAAAAACAAAUCUCAGAAAAUGCAUUUCCCAUACAUGUUUUCCUGUAAAGGUGUUUGGAAAUAUACCUAGAAAAAUGAAAGAAUAGAAUAGGAAGGAUGUUGAGGGAUCUAGGAGUUUGGGGAUCCUAUCCCAGGCUCCUGGUAGCAGUGGGAAAAAUUUGCAGAGCAGCAAUUGCAUAGCAGGUUUAGAAGGAGGAUAAACAGACUGGAGCAGAGGAUGAGGCGGAGAUCAGGAAUGGAGGUCCCCAGGAGAAAAAGAGGACUGAAUAGAAAAGACCGGCUUGGGGGAAAUUAAACCACAAGGGCAAAUAAUGCAAGAAAAACAAUAGUAUCUGUUGGAAACUCCAGAAAUCAGGGGUAAGGUGAGGAAUGUGUAAUAAAGCUGAAUGCAUCAUAAAACCAUAAUUCACACUUGAAGCAAACUAAAGUGUGGCCACAUUGGAGGAUAAAAACAAAGAGAGAGAAAAUCCCUUGAACCUUGAUUCUGAGAUCAUCCUCUCUUGACGGGCCCGGGGUUAUGAUGUCAGAUAUUAAAUGACAUGAUCGAUGUAAGGAAAAGCCAUGAGAUGUGGCUGCAACUGCUGGACAGAGUGUAUAGUAACUGUUUAACCCACAAAGUGGGAUUUGCAAGGUAGAGACAAGGGCAGGGCACCAGCUUCACCUUCUAAAGUGAGGGCUCAGCAAUAUAAUAUUAUCAAAAGCUGAGAAAUAUCAAUGUUGUGUAAUACUUCAAAUUACAAAUACAAUAAACAGAGGAAAAACAAGGAUAAUAAUAUAAAUGUCAGGCAUGGGGUAUGUCUGAGAUUCUGGAGCAGAGGGGUGGUUGUAUUGAGCUAAAGCCUCAUCUUCCUAUCAAAGAGGCUGUAAAGAAUAUCUCUUCCUAAUACAUUGUAAAAAUAAGAAUGAUGGAGUUCCCCAUUGUG
rnacentral:lncRNA from 1 species